CGCCUGUCACCCCGCACUCCAGGAGGCUGAGGCAGGAGGACCCCUGCGGAGGCUAGCCCAGCUUGAGUAACUGAGCGACUUAGCAAGCCCAUGUGUCCAAAUAAAAAAAUAAAAAGGGCUCAGGGCAGAGCUCGGCGCAAAGGCCCUGGGUGCCGUCCCAGUGCCACAAAAAUAAAAACGUAAUAAAUAAGCAAGUGUGAAAAUGCAUCCUGCAGCGGGGAUCUUUACGCAGACCAGCGGCUCACACACGAUGACGUGUUUUAGUAUCUCCGGAGUGCCCGGGCUUCCCCAGUACAGGAAGGAGAAAGAACGGAACCACGAGGUAAAGGAAAGGAAAUCAGCAGGAACGGCCUCAGUUCGCCAACAGGAGCACGAUUUCUGCAAAACCCGAAGUGCAAACAAAGAGCUAAAAACAGACAGACAACAGGACAGAGAAAGCUAAAAAAGCCUGGCCCGGGGCUGCACGCGGGCCUGAAAGCGAAGCACUCUGGGAGGCUGAGGCCGGAGAGUCGAACACAAGUCCCCAACCUGGGCGACUGAGCCGUUUAGCCGGAUCUGCUCUCAGAAUAAACAAAAAGAGGCUGGAGACAUAGCGCACCGCGCGAGCCCUGGGUUCAACCCUGAGUACUACAAAAACGAACAAAAAUAAACAGAAACUGAAAGACGCUGUGGAAAGAAACAAGAAAAAAUCAUUCUGCUCUCUGCGGGACGUGCGGGGAAGGAGCAGGGGGGUUCCCCGUCCUCGGACUUUUCCGGUGUUUACCCAAUUAUCUAUGGCAACGGCGGGAAAGCUCGAUCCCCUCCCCCCACCCCGAGCGCGCCCGGGACUGCGCGCUACAAAGUAUCUUUCCAGAUACAAAGUAUCUUUGCACGUACAAAGUAUCUUUCGCGCUCCGCAGGCCUUGCAGUUUCCCAGCCUUCCAGCCCCGGCGAGCUACAAAGUAUCUUUCUCGGCCGCGCAGGCCUGGAAGUUUCCCCAGGGAUCCCACCCCUUCAGCUUAGGCCUUUAACCCCCCGGGGACGACUCCAAAUUUAGGCCCGAGACUCAGGGCGUGGCUCGGGGCCCCGGGCGCCCCGGGCAACAAUGGCGCGCGCGGGUCCCCAAACCCAGCCUGGGGAGCGCGCCAGAGUUGGCGGCGACGGAAAACGGGUCCGAGAGAGGAGGGGAUCGGAGGCCGGCGCCGAGCCCAGAGCUCCCCCAGAAGGGCUUGGAGCGCAGGAAAAACGCGCCGACAUGUCGCACCGGGAAUGGAUCCAGACCGUGGCCGGGACGCAGUUGGCUUGGGCAGUGGAACAAAUCCCAGCCAUCAUGGUCUUCUGCUCCAGUAGAAGCCCAGACAUGGAAGAACCUUGCUUACAUCUAUUUCUGACAGAUGAGCCUGGCUCUCGGCUGAGGUAAGAACCAGGAGCAUAGCUUGUGGGGACCAGUGCAGAAGGAAGACCCAAGGCCCCUGCUCCAAACUUCUACCAAGAAAUUCAAGAUGGCAGCCAGGGACCGUGAAUCCAAGCAUGGAGCCAGUUCCACAGACUGUGACCCAGGAGAUGAACCCUCACUGAGAUGUCUGGGAGAUGGCCACACAAAACACUCACACAUGACCUCUUUGCAUGGCUUGGGUGACCUCCCAGCACCCUGACUGCCAGAAAGAGCUGGAUUCCCAAGGUGCGUGUCUCCAGGGAAAGACAGGAAAUCCAGCAGAACUCAUCACGGGUACAGAACCACAAGUCAUGUGACCUGUCCUCCCCAGCAUCUCUCCGUGACAGCAAGAACAAACACCCACCCCACUGCAUGGGAAGGAGAAUGAGACUCCUCUCUGUGGCUGAGAGGGAGGUCCUGGGAGAGCACGGGGGACACAACUAGUGCUUAGCCAUGCUGGGAGAAGGUCAUCGGUCCGAACAACAAAGCCUGCUUCACAGCUGCAGAGCUAGCUUAGGAAUAAUCCAGCAGCCUAGUACAUAAAACUCUGCUCAUUUACCCAGAGAAUAUUUGUUUAGCAAAGAGAUACGGCAGGUUGUCCUCUAGGGGCCGAGCAUAGGGAGGUGGAGAAGUCAUCUUCUUUCUUCCAUUGUCUGAGUCACUUUGCUCAUGGGUGCCACAAAUACUCAACACAUGCACAGUUGAAAGGGGUGAGGUUGAUUUGGGCUAGCAACUUCAGAAGUUGCAGCCUGUGUUGCAGGCUCAGACACGGAAACAAUAUGGUGGACUGGCCUGACAGAGGAAGGAUGCUCACAUCAUGGCGGCCAGAAAGGGGAGGGACAGAGAGAGAGAGACAGACAGAGAGAGAGACAGAGAGAGACAAAGACAGAAAGACAGAGACAGAGAGAGAGAAAGAGAGACAGAAAGACAGACAGAGACAGAGAGACAGAGAAAGAGAGAGCUAUGAAUUCAUUAGUGGAUUGACCCAUUGGUGAUUAUAAACCCCCAUGAUCCAGUCACCUCUCAAAAGCUCCAUCUGUGCACACAUGAGACUUCUGAGGGAGGUUGUAGAUCUAAACUAUGGCAUCUAUUUACCGAUCAUCCAUCAUCUAUCUCCCUAUCUCCUCUAUUCUAGUCUCUCUCCAUCCUCAGCUAUCUAUUGUUAAUCUGUUCUGCCAUCUAUCCAUGUAUCCAUCUCUGUUUUCUCUUCUCAAUACUGCAUCUAUUCAUCACAGCUACCGACUGUUUAUCAUCUAUCUGCCGUGUUGUCUCUGUCUCUAGUCUCCGUCAUCUAUCCUUUGCUCUCCAUCCAUCUAUCCAUCUUAUUUGUCGUCUCUCCAGAGAAACCUAGCUAAUAUAGGUAGCUUCAUAGAAGAAAAUAGGAACGGAGCAAAAUGGAAGCAGGGCUGAGCCAGAUUGUGAAUGUAUGGAGUAGAGACAGGAUAGGCAAGGUGAACAGAGCAUCAAUUCCAGACCUCAGGAAGGAAAGACAUUUGUAUUCUUAUGUCCAGCCCAGGCAUGUUCCCGGCCAACGUAAAGAGUAUAAAACCGUGAAAACACAGGAAUCCCUAUCUCCAUCAUACUGGUAUUUCAGAACAUUUUUUCUUCUUUCUCCAAAAAUCCCCAUUUCUUAUCAGCACCUGUUUUUGAUUUUUCACAACCCACCAAAGGUCUCUGCCUGGGCUUGGCAUCUCUCCUGGUUGGGAUGCUGGACGUAGGAAUCCAGAAGAAAGGUGUUGGGUAGAUGACCCUUUU